rnacentral:rRNA from 1 species
UACGUAGGGUGCAAGCGUUGUCCGGAAUUAUUGGGCGUAAAGAGCUCGUAGGCGGUCUGUCGCGUCUGCUGUGAAAACUCGGGGCUUAACCCCGGGCCCGCAGUGGGUACGGGCAGACUAGAGUGCGGUAGGGGAGACUGGAAUUCCUGGUGUAGCGGUGAAAUGCGCAGAUAUCAGGAGGAACACCGGUGGCGAAGGCGGGUCUCCGGGCCGUAACUGACGCUGAGGAGCGAAAGCGUGGGGAGCGAACAGG